rnacentral:rRNA from 1 species
GGGGAAUAUUGCGCAAUGGGGGAAACCCUGACGCAGCAACGCCGCGUGAGUGAUGAAGGUCUUCGGAUUGUAAAGCUCUGUCUUUGGGGACGAUAAUGACGGUACCCAAGGAGGAAGCCACGGCUAACUACGUGCCAGCAGCCGCGGUAAUACGUAGGUGGCAAGCGUUGUCCGGAUUUACUGGGCGUAAAGAGUAUGUAGGCGGACAUUUAAGUCAGAUGUGAAAUCCCCGGGCUUAACCUGGGAGCUGCAUUUGAUACUGGGUGUCUAGAGUGUAGGAGAGGAAAGUGGAAUUCCUAGUGUAGCGGUGAAAUGCAUAGAGAUUAGGAGGAACACCGGUGGCGAAGGCGGCUCUCUGGACCGAUACUGACGCUGAGACGCGAAAGCGUGGGUAGCAAAC